GUGUACCACUCCUACGGGAGGCAGCAGUGGGGAAUAUUGCACAAUGGGGGAAACCCUGAUGCAGCCAUGCCGCGUGUGUGAAGAAGGCCUUCGGGUUGUAAAGCACUUUCAGUAGGGAGGAAGGUAGUGUAGUUAACACCUGCACUAUUUGACGUUACCUACAGAAGAAGCACCGGCUAACUCCGUGCCAGCAGCCGCGGUAAUACGGAGGGUGCGAGCGUUAAUCGGAAUUACUGGGCGUAAAGCGCAUGCAGGCGGCCUGUUAAGUCAGAUGUGAAAGCCCGGGGCUUAACCUCGGAAUUGCAUUUGAAACUGGCAGGCUAGAGUCUUGUAGAGGGGGUAGAAUUUCAGGUGUAGCGGUGAAAUGCGUAGAGAUCUGAAGGAAUACCAGUGGCGAAGGCGGCCCCCUGGACAAAGACUGACGCUCAGAUGCGAAAGCGUGGGGAGCAAACAGGAUUAGAUACCCUGGUAG
rnacentral:rRNA from 1 species